rnacentral:rRNA from 1 species
UACAGAGACCUCAAGCGUUAUCCGGAAUCAUUGGGCGUAAAGCGUACCGAUAGGUGGUUAUACAAGUCAGAAGUGAAAUUCCAAAGCUUAACUUUGGGUCUGUCUUUUGAAACUGUAUAACUAGAAGGGCAAAGAGGAAGCUGGAACAAACGGUGUAGUAGUGAAAUGCGUUGAUAUCGUUUGGAAAACCAAUAGCGUAAGCAGGCUUCUGGGUGCAAAUUGACAGUGCUAGGACGAAAGCGUGGGGAGCGAAUGGG